rnacentral:rRNA from 1 species
ACAGAGGUCUCGAGCGUUGUUCGGAUUUACUGGGCGUAAAGGGAGCGUAGGCGGUUCGGUGUGUUGAAUGUGAAAUCCCACAACUCAACUGUGGAAUGGCAUUCAAAACUACCGGGCUAGAGUACUGGAGAGGAGAGCGGAAUUCUUGGUGUAGCGGUGAAAUGCGUAGAUAUCAAGAGGAACACCGGUGGCGAAGGCGGCUCUCUGGACAGAUACUGACGCUGAGGCUCUAAAGUUAGGGGAGCAAACAG